UACGUAGGGGGCAAGCGUUGUCCGGAAUCAUUGGGCGUAAAGAGCGCGUAGGCGGCCCUGUAAGUCCGCUGUGAAAGUCAAGGGCUCAACCCUUGGAUGCCGGUGGAUACUGCAGGGCUAGAGUCCGGAAGAGGCGAGUGGAAUUCCUGGUGUAGCGGUGAAAUGCGUAGAGAUCCGGAGGAACACCAGUGGCGAAGGCGACACGCUGGGCCGUACCUGACACUGAUGCGCGACAGCAUGGGGAGCAAACAGG
rnacentral:rRNA from 1 species